UGGCUUGCUGGCGGUGGUUUUCCAGGCUUGGUUCUCCAGGCACGGCUUGCUGGAGGUGGUUCUCCAGGCUUGGUUCUCCAGGUACCACUUGCUGGAGGUGUCUCCCCAGGCUUGGUGUCUCUGUGGUGGUUCCCCAGCAGGCUCUCGGGACUGGGCUCCCUGGCCAGCCCGGUGCCAGCAGAGGGCCUCCCUUACCCAACAGAGCACCGCGCCGCCACGAAAUUAUAAAACACAUUAUCUAUUUGGCAAAAGUUUAUGCAAGGACCAGGAAAUGGGCUGGAGUUCAUUCUCCUCCAGAAGACCGGAGACAACGUGUCGUCCCCCCCCGCUUCUUUUUUUAAUGCCAGCACUCGAGAUGCAUUAAAGCCACGGGAGUGUUCAUCAUUAAAAUGGCAAUUGCGAAGCGAGGCAAUAAAUUUAACAUCAUAAAAGGCACUGGGAGGGUCCCGUUCAUCUGUUGCUCUUCAAAGAAAAGUGUUAGUUGCUUCUGAAAAAAAAAAUUGGGAAGAAACAGGUUGCUCCUGCAUCCCUUGGCUUCCCUCACCACCUUCUUCUAGCUCCUGCAGACUCCUUUUCCUUCCUCAUUGCCUGAUAACGGCCUUCAGAUCCAUGAGAAACGGGGCGAUGGUCCAUGCGUGGAGCUGUGCGAGCCCCUCGGGGCUGGGGCAGGGGGACGGAGGAGGGACAGAUGAAUGGACACCACCGAGGUUGUGCAGUUGGUGAGGAGCAGAUCUGCCACUGCUUGGCGUGGUGCUCAGCCUGGCUGCCUGCUAGCCAUCCCCGCCAGCUUGAACAAUGGAUGUGCUGCCACUUCUCAGUAAUAAAAUCCUUCCUCCACAUACA